GCCGUCGUGGUGGAAUUGGUAUACACGUGCGCUUCAGGUGCGUAUGGGAGCAAUCCCGUGAGGGUUCGAGUCCCUCCGACGGCACCA
rnacentral:tRNA from 1 species